GAACAUGUGAAGGUAAGACAAUACAACUUGAACGAUUAAUGUCCUGUAGCCGCUUAGAUUUGUUAUGUCUCAGCUAGUAAGCUGAAUUUAAAGGUAUGAGGUGAGUCAAUUGUGGACAGCCAUAUCGGUUUCGUUCAAGAUAUCCAAUUGCCCAACUAAGGAAUUUCUAUACCAAACUAGUUCGUAAAUUGUCCCCAGUCUUUGUG
rnacentral:lncRNA from 1 species